rnacentral:rRNA from 1 species
UACGUAGGGACUAAGCGUUGUUCGGAUUUACUGGGCGUAAAGGGCGCGUAGGCGGCGUGACAAGUCACUUGUGAAAUCUCCGGGCUUAACUCGGAACUGCCAAGUGAUACUGUCGUGCUAGAGUGCAGAAGGGGCAAUCGGAAUUCUUGGUGUAGCGGUGAAAUGCGUAGAUAUCAAGAGGAACACCUGAGGUGAAGACGGGUUGCUGGGCUGACACUGACGCUGAAGCGCGAAAGCUAGGGGAGCAAACGGG